UCGUCAUCUUAUUUUGCUUCAUUAGUCCUGCCUAUUUACAAAGUCAGGUUGUUUAUGAAGCAAUUAAAGGUAAACAUUUGUGAUUAAUAUUACUUAUUCUUAUCCUUUGGUGCUACUAUUUGAGUUUUCCUCAUUCCUUUGGCUCGCUGCAAGAAUACAACCUGACAGCAGUAAAAGACAUUAGAAGCAGCAGUAACACAUUCAAGCAGAUAGUUUAAUAUCUAGUAUUAACCAUGAAAAAUAAUAACAUUUAGAUAAAGUGCAUGAAAAUUAGAGACCUAAGUAUGACUAACAACUGUGUGUAAUAUUUAUCUAAUUUGAAACGAUAAGCACGGAAGUCAAGUGUCUAACUGACUACAUAGUGACAUGCCACCUCUUUUGUUCAGUACUUCUUAUUUUACUCUACUGGUGUCGAAUUGGUAUUUUAUUUGCAUUUCUCCUAAGAUUUUCUGUAAUUUCAUGGUUAGUAUAUACCUGAUAGUAGCAUGUAGUUAAAUCCUGCUUCUCUUUUGAGAGAUAAGUUUUUGUUCCAAAUUGCUUAUUAUUAUUAUCUAGUGGUUUUUUUCUGUUUCAAAUAAUAUACCUCUUCUGACCCUAAUCAAUUGAUAUAGGAAGAGCUUGAGGUCAUUGUGAUUGGUGUUGGUGAGUUUAUUGUAAUCUAUAGUUGUGAUAUGAUAUAGCCACUAACUCACCAUAUUUUUAUAUAUUACAUUUCAUUUUUUGACACAUUUAUUUUAUUAUUUUAGGUCAUAGAGCUUGAUGUUCAAAAAAUUUCCUUGUAGAAGAUUUCAAUAUAAACCAGAGUUGUGGAAAUUAUUUGAAGACAUCAUUUGACAUGAUCAGUUGUAUAAUAACAUUAGUUAUUGUGACACUAUAUUUUGGAUUAGUACUUUGUUUUAUUUGUGUGGGUUUGAUGGGAUGUAUUAUGUUUUAUGAAUUAAUAAAAAUAUAUAUAUUAGCAUUUAUCAAACUUCUUUGA
rnacentral:lncRNA from 1 species